rnacentral:rRNA from 1 species
CCUACGGGAGGCAGCAGUCGGGAAUCUUGCACAAUGGGCGAAAGCCUGAUGCAGCAACACCGUGUGAGCGAUGAAGGCCCUAGGGUCGUAAAGCUCUGUUGUUAGGAACGAAGGGCGAAGGGUUAAUAGCCCUUAGCCUGACGGUACCUUUCGAGGAAGCCCCGGCUAACUACGUGCCAGCAGCCGCGGUAAUACGUAGGGGGCGAGCGUUGUCCGGAAUUAUUGGGCGUAAAGAGCGUGUAGGCGGCUUGGUAAGUCUGCUGUGAAACCUUGGGGCUCAACCCCAAGCGUGCAGUGGAUACUGUCAAGCUAGAGGAUGGUAGAGGCCAGUGGAAUUCCCGGUGUAGCGGUGAAAUGCGCAGAUAUCGGGAGGAACACCAGUAGCGAAGGCGGCUGGCUGGGCCAUUCCUGACGCUGAGACGCGAAAGCUAGGGGAGCGAACAGGAUUAGAUACCCUGGUAGUCCUAGCCGUAAACGAUGAACACUAGGUGUGGGGGGAGUCGAAUCCCUCCGUGCCGAAGCCAACGCGUUAAGUGUUCCGCCUGGGGAGUACGGCCGCAAGGCUAAAACUCAAAUGAAUUGACGGGG